GAUGAACGCUAGCGGUGCGCCUAACACAUGCAAGUCGAGCGAUCGAACUGGACUGAUCACCCUUCGGGGUGAGAGGACCAGUGACGGAGCGGCGGACUGGUGAGUAACGCGUAGCCAACCUACCCCCUUGACGGAGAUAACUACCUGAAAGGGUAGCUAAUACCCGAUAUUGCUCGAGGUCGAAAGAUCUUGAGCCAAAGGCGGUCUUGCCGUCGCAAGAGGAGGGGGCUGCGUCCUAUUAGCUUGUUGGUGGGGUAAUGGCCCACCAAGGCGAUGAUGGGUAGCUGGUCUGAGAGGAUGGCCAGCCACAUUGGGACUGAGAUACGGCCCAGACUUCUACGGGAGGCAGCAGUGGGGAAUCUUUCGCAAUGGGCGAAAGCCUGACGGAGCGACACCGCGUGGGGGAUGAAGGCUUUCGGGUUGUAAACCUCUUUUCUGGGGGAAGAAUAAGGGCGGGAGGAAAUGCCCGUCCGAUGACGGUACCCCAGGAAUAAGCAUCGGCUAACUUCGUGCCAGCAGCCGCGGUAAGACGAAGGAUGCAAGCGUUAUCCGGAAUUACUGGGCGUAAAGGGCGCCUAGGCGGCCGAGCAAGUCACCCGUGAAAGCCCUCAGCUCAACUGAGGAAUGUCGAGUGAAACUGCUCGGCUUGGGUGCAGGAGAGGAGGGUGGAACUCACAGAGUAGCGGUGGAAUGCGUAGAUACUGUGAGGUACCCCGAUGGCGAAGGCAACCCUCUGGCUGCUACUGACGCUGAAGCGCGAAAGCGUGGGGAGCAAAGGGGAUUAGAUACCCCCGUAGUCCACGCCGCAAACGAUGUUCACUGGGUGUCGGUCGCUAAUACAGAUCGGUGCCGGAGCUAACGCGUUAAGUGAACCGCCUGGGGAGUACGGCCGCAAGGCUAAAACUCAAGAGAAUUGACGGGGCCCCGCACAAGCGGUGGAGCACGUGGUUUAAUUCGAUGAUAAGCGAAGAACCUCACCUGGGUUUGACAUGCUAGUGGUAGGAACCGGAAACGGGGACGACCCUUGCCUUCGGGUAAGGGAGCUAGUACAGGUGAUGCAUGGCUGUCGUCAGUUCGUGUCGUGGGACGUUGGGUUAAGUCCCGAAACGAGCGCAACCCCUGUCGUCAGUUGCCAGCGGGUAAAGCCGGGGACUCUGACGAGACUGCCGGUGAAUAGCCGGAGGAAGGAGGGGAUGACGUCAAGUCAUCAUGUCCCUUAUGCCCAGGGCGACACACAUGCUACAAUGGGGGGGUACAAAGGGCUGCAAUGCCGUAAGGCUGAGCCAAUCCCAAAAAACCUUCCUCAGUUCGGAUUGAGGUCUGUAACUCGACCUCAUGAAGCCGGAAUCGCUAGUAAUCGCAGGUCAGCCACACUGCGGUGAAUAUGUACUCGGGGCUUGUACACACCGCCCGUCACACCAACCGAGUGGGGGGUACUUGAAGUCGCUCUUUAUAGAGCGCCGAGGGUA
rnacentral:rRNA from 1 species